AAGAAGCAGGAAAUAGGAAGCAGAAAGCAAGAAGCAGGAACUAGGAAGCAGAAGGCCUUCAUUCUUUCGAGGAACUCACAGAGUUGAGUAAAAGAGGCUCACAGGGCCACCACCGGUAAUCCCACAAAGUAUACAGGAAGUUUCCAUCUCAAUGGCCAUCUUGUCUACCUUGAGGAGAUGCUGUCAACAAUACAGAAGAUGCCUUCUAAGGCAGAUUGGUUUGCUCACUAUUGCAGUUGGCAAAGAUACCAGAAGACUACACGUAGCAUGCGUCUAAUAUGGCUUUAGGUGCUUCUGUGACUAAGGUAAGUGUGUACCAAUAACAAACAUUCUACUUCUGUCAUAUGAACAACACGAUUUUCUUAGCUAGGCCAGGUCAGGCCUAACAGUCCAAAAGGAUGAGACACCGUUUGUUUAGUGACAACAAAGUUAACCAGUGCUCUGAGACUUAAUGAGAAGGUAGUGAUAAGAACUCAGUCUGUCUUUAAGUAUUUCCUACUGAUAUUAAGACUUUUUUUCCUUGUGAAAACGUACACUCUGUUUUAAAGCAUGUCGCUCAGUGCCAUUAGGUAACCACACAACCAUCACCACUACCUACUCCUGGAACUUGCCAAAACUGCAAUUUUGUUCCCAUAAGACACCAAGUGCCUGCCUCUUCCUCAGCCCUUGGUAGUUCUAUGAAAGUGACUACUCCAGAUGCCAUAAAGAUUUACUAUUCAGUGAUGGGAGGUUUCACUCAGCCUAGUGGUUCGCAUGUGGGUAGCUACAGUCAAAUAUGUUUCCUUUAUAAGGCUGAAUGCUACCCCAGCACACGGCAUGUCUGCUCAUUUGCCAAAGGAUGUUUGGAUGGCUACUAGCUUUUAGCUUUUGCAAAUGACUGUGCUGUGACCGUGGGCCUUUAUGACCCUUCAACUCUUUGAGAAGUAACCAAGAAUGACUUCCUUUUAUAAUUAGAGACAGUAGGCUGCACCGUGGGGCCUUAGCACAGCACCUUAGAGCGUUGCAUGAAGCCUCAAAAAAAAAAAAAAAAAA
rnacentral:sRNA from 1 species